rnacentral:lncRNA from 1 species
UCGUUAUGUUUACAGUUAACAAUUUAAAAAACAAAGUCUUAAACACAAAUAUAUUUUUAGGAAUUAAUUAUUUUAUAUCAUUAAUCACAUAUCUUUUUGUGAUAACAAUAUUCUAAAACUUGUGAAAUUGGAUUAGUGUUUAUUUGACCAUCCAGUAGAUACUAAGGCUGAUGUCGGCAUCCUAAGCAGUUUUAACAAGAGGAUCUGUAUAUAAGCUCUCGUGCAACAUCCUCAUUAGCUCUUUUUCAGUUGAGAGAGCCAUGUUUAAUUUACUAGAGUAACUUGUGUCAUAUCAACAUGGAUAACGUAACCACAUUUAUUAACAAUGCCGUUGACUUUUCAUGGUGUAAAUAAUGUAUACCUAUCAGAAUAACAACC